AGCACAUCUAUGGAGUUUGUGGAGUUAUGGGUGUGAAACAGCACUAGAGAAGCAGCAGAGAGGCGUGUAAGCCUGCAGCUCUGCCUCCUGGGCUGAACUCUGGGUUAUCAUGGUUUUAGGGUGUUAAUAAAAUUGGCCAAAUUCCUAGAGAUAAGAGAAGCAGCCGCCAAGGUGGGGUGAACUCCAUCUCGUCUAAUCAGACCAGACUUUCCCCAGAAAGAGUUCCAAUUAUCUACGUAGGCCACGUCGUUGGCUGGACACCACCUAGAUAACCAGCGGUGGAAUGACGACAUGCGACUAUACACUUCAUCACUGGUCAGAUUGGUAAUGAGAGCUUACAUUCAAAAGGAACAAGUGCAUUGGGAAGAGAGGUGCAAUAAGAGGGGAAAUCAUUUGAAGAAUGGAACCAAUAAAAGAGAAAAUGUGUGAGGUCAAAGGUUCAGAAUGGAGCUCUGUUGUUUUUUUUUUUUUUUUAAACAAGGUAAAGCUGCACAGAUCAGCAGGCUGGGAGGCAAGAGUGUUCAGGUCACAAAGAUGAGGGUAAGAUGAGCGGCAGUAACAGGAGCAGAACAGGUCAAGGAAACUAUAAAAGGAGCUAAAGUAAAAGAUGCAAAGAAUUGGCUGUUUACCACUUUCUGUGCAACCUUUGAUACUGUAGGUAGGACGCUGAUAGGCCUGUAGCUGCAGGUAGAACAGUGAUCUCCACAUUUAAAUACUGGAAUAACAACAGCUGACUUCCAAACACUUGGAAACAUUCCAUGAGAAAUGGAGAGGUUAAAUAUUUUGGUAAUAAGAUUAGUUAGUGUUGAGCUCUUUGAGCAUAACUGCGUCUGUAUCAAAUAUAUCUAAAUGGCUGAAUCUAGUCAUUACGGAAACCUCUGACUAUGUGACGUUCUUUAGACUGAGGCCCGGAUCCAUUGGAUUAACUGAAUAAACUGGUGUGUUCUCAGGUAAACAACAUUACCACCUUGUUCCUCUGGAGUUUGUAUUGUUAUUGACGCUAUAUAUUGUAGAUAAAAUAAAACUGAAUUGAAUUGUUACUUAAACAAAAGUGUUGACUCAGUUUAGUUUUUAUUGUAUUUUUAAGACAAUAUCCAGUUCUUUCAUUAGUUAAUUUCAUGACCCGAGGGACAGUGGUUUUGUAGUUUUUACACUUACAUUUGCAGUUAAAGUAUUUAAUAAUGUUCUCUAGUUUUUUUGAGAAUAUUAGACUCUUCGUGUGUCCAACAAUAGAUAACAACAAAUCAGUCUGAUGAACAGCACUUUUAAAGUUCUCCUGUUUGUUUUGUUUGUUCUCUGACAUUAGGGAUAAACUGCUUCGUGCCUAGUUUUCUGGCUGACUGUGUUAAACUGUGGUGACAGAAACCAGUUACCAUAUUACAGGAUUUCAAAAUUCUUUGAGGUCUGUUAGUAAAAAUCAAAUCAGUCUGAGUCCUGGUGGAAUUUAUUUUUCUUGAGGCCCCACUGAACAGUUGCAUGAGGUCAAAGUUAUCGGUUCUUUGAGAUUUUUUCUGGAGGAUUUAUCCUCCCAAUUCAUGUUAAAAUCUUCCAAAAUAAUAACUUAUUUUUUCAAAUGACAUCCUUUUAAUAGUUUCUAGAACUUAACCAAUAUUGUAACAGGGAGGACAGUAAAUUUCAAUAAGAAUAAAGGUGACUAAAGGAUAUUUAGACCAAUACAUUCCACUUCCUUACAGGUUGACCAAUGGAUUUCGUUACACUGGACACUAUUGUUCAUAUGAAUCCUCCUCCCUUUGAGCCCACUCUAUCUCUUCUGUAAAUGCAGUACUCAGACUAUUCCAAUACGUUGGGAGAAAACAGCAGAUGCAGUCACGUAAAACAGUCACGUAUUGUACCCGUCCUUAAGCCAGGAACAGAUGGACAGAUAGCCCUUACAUCACAUUAAAAAACAAUGGAGCGUGUUGUAACAGGGAAGUGUUUCUAUCCGGUGCUGUUCAAUAUAAUGAUUAAUGAAUCUUUGGUAGAGUUCAGAAAGGAACAGUGUGACGUCUGCUGCUGUAGGACCUGUUUUGCGUUUCUCCCUUGUCUUUGUGCUGGUUUGUUUUCCUGCAGGUUCCUUAGUGGCCAGGUCUUAAUUUGGGCUUCAGCUUCAGCCUAUUAUUUUACACGAACAUGCACCAUCCACAGACACACUGAUACUCACACUCACACCUCAUUUGUUAAUGUUUAGUUGCUGUUGGCAUUGUUUAAAUAAAUUUGGUUGCCUUUGCUGAUGACCUGCAUCUCCACGUCUUUUUUUUGUCACAGCUUACAAACCAGGUCACAACAACACUACACUUUCACCUUCACAAUAAAAGCCUCCCUCCAUGUUGUGUGUUGUUAUGUGUUAGUUAAGUCCAGUCACAGUUGGAACAAAGACGACCUAAAGUUCUUUCCAGUCAGAGCAGAUAAAACAUCUGCCUCCAGUAACACAGACAAACACAGUAGAAAUCAGUUUAAGAUGGACAGAAGUAAACCCACUAAUGACCCACUAAAACCAAGAGAAACACUUUAAAUGAGAUUGAACCAGUGGAUAGUGGAGCAGGACUUAAUGUGGGAAGGAGAGAAAAAGUCUGGAGAAAAGCCUGGUCACCUUUAGAUCUGAGAGAGGACUGAGAGGAGUUGUUGUGAGGAUGGAAUCAGGAUGUUUCUCAUCCUUAUCCACAUAGCAGUGAUACUGGAUGUUUUUAUUGUUAUUUGUUGGAGAUUGAACCACUGGGAAUCAUAUAUAGGGAGAAAAAGAAGAGGCCCUAAAAUUGGUCCUUGAGGGACACCACAUUUGAGCACAAGGUGAAGAGUUGCUGCCUUUUUAUUUACUGAGAAGGUUCCGUGUCUCAAAUUGGAUAAUGAUCUAUCCAGGACAACAUGGACCUCUAAGUCUAAGGAUGUCGUUGUGUACUUUCAGCAGAAUCAGAAUCAGAAUUACUUUAUUGAUCCCAGGAGGAAAUUACUUUUCGUUACAGCAGCUCCAACCCAAAGUGUAACAGUGUUACAAAGAGCAAUUAGAAUAAGUAGGAGACAAUAAGGAUGCCCUGUGGGUCAUCAUGGUUUGAUCAGUCUGGUACUGAAAGAACUCCUGUGUGUGGCCAACACGUCAUGGAGUGGGUUAAACUCAUUGUCCAGGAUGACUUUCACCUUGUGAAGCGUUCUCCUGUCUGACACCACUGUCAGAGAGUCCGGCUUCACUCCCACUACGUCACUGGCCUCACGUAUCAGUCUGUUCAGUCUGUUGGCGUCCGCUACCCUCAGCCUGCUGCCCCAGCACACAACAGCAUAGAAGAUGGCACUGGCCACCACAGACUCAUAGAACAUCCUGAGCAUAGUCCUGCAGAUGUUAAAAGACCUCAUAGAAGACACCAAUCGCCUCAGAACAUAGAGACGACUCUCAGGGCGUCUGUGUUCUUUCCCCAGUCCAGUCUAUUAUCAAUGUGACCCCCAGAUACUUAUAAUCCUCCACUAUGUCCACAUUGACCCCCUGGAUGGAAACAUGGGUCACCGGCACCUUGGUCCUCCUCAGGUCCACCACCAGCUCCUCCGUCUUUGUCACAUUGAGCUGUAGAUGUUUCUCCUCACACCAUGUGACAAAGUUGUCCACACCAGCCCUGUACUCCACCUCAUCACCCUCUGAUCCAACCACUGCAGAGUCAUCAGAAAACCUCUGCAGAUGACAGGUCUCUGUGCAGUGGUUGAAGUCUGAGAGGAUUCAUGGCUACGGAGUGAUCUAAAACCUGACUAGAUACUAUCAGAAAUAUCAAAUCUUCAAGGAAAACUUCCUUGGUCACAUAGUUUAUGAUAAAUGUGAUUUAGGCGUGGACUAUGGAGUCUGAUGGAGGGAUGGAGUCUAAACUGUGCUUUCCUCUGAUUGGAUGGCAGUUUCUUUAUAAGGAGGUCACCUGGUUCUCAGAGGAGGAGACAGAGCUGCAGGACUGGACUUCGUACAGGAGCUGAAGAACUGACUCAACAUCAACAUCAUCAACAAUUAUCAACUGUGUUGCAGCACGACUGAACCAUGGGAAACACCUUUACCCUGUUCAACGAGACGCCCAACACAGUUUUGGCGCUGCCUCCGUGGGGACCAUGUGCCCGGUGACUCCACGCCAGCUGCUGAGUCCACCCGACUGGCCGUGUCCUCACCCAAAAUGUGCCGGAAUCACAAGACGAAAUUAUUGUCUGGGUCAAAUAAUAACCGUCCUUGGAGAUAUUAGCA